rnacentral:lncRNA from 1 species
CAGAAAAAUGAAAACAACGAUAUUUUGCAAAAAAUAAAUCAAAUUGAAAAUCAGUUAGAAAAACAUUAUGAAUAUAAAGCUAAAGGCGCCCAAUUAAGAUCGAAAACAAGAUUGGGUAGAAAAAGGCGAAAAAAAUACAGCUUACUUUUUAGGCCUAGAAAAAAAUAAACAAACAAAAAAAACAAUAAUAAAACUAAAAGAUGACCAAGGAAAUAUUGUUACAGAUCAAAGUAAAAUACUUCAAAUUGAAAAGGAUUUUUACGAAAAACUAUAUUCAAAAGAAAAUGAAAACAUGGCCCAAUCAUGGGAAUAUAUUAACAGUACCGAAGUAAAAAAUAAAUUAUCAAAACACGAAAGUCAGACGUGUGACGGAUAUGUUACAAUAGAAGAAUUAACACUAGCAGUAAAUAAUUUAAAACCCAAUAAAAGCCCAGGUAAAGAUGGUAUCACAACAAAUUUCUAUAAAAAGUUUUGGCAAUCAUUAGGCCCAAUCCUUGUUAACAUCUUUAAUACAAGCUACGACAGGCAAAAGCUACCAUUUUCUCAAAGACAAAGUAUUCUUAAUCUUAUAUACAAAAAGAAUGAUCCACUAGAUCUUUCAAAUUAUAGGCCAAUCUCCUUAUUAAACUCAGACUAUAAAAUACUAUCUUACACAUUAGCUCAAAGAAUAAAAAAUGUACUAAAUUUAAUAAUAAAUGCAGACCAAACAGGAUAUAUAAAAAAACGAUAUAUUGGCUUUAAUCUCAGACAAAUACAAGACAUCAUAGAUUACGCCGACAAAUUCAAUGUUGAAGGUGCAAUUUUGUUUCUAGACUUUUCAAAAGCAUUUGAUACCUUAAAAUGGACCUUUAUGUACCAAACUCUCGAACAUUUCGGCUUUAAUAGUUCAUUUAUUAACUGGAUCAAAACGUUAUAUUCUGAUAUAAAUAGCUCUGUGUUCAAUAAUGGAUGGAUCUCUG